UACGGAAGCAGCAGUGGGGAAUAUUGCACAAUGGGCCGAAAGCCUGAUGCAGCGACGCCGCGUGAGGGAUGACGGCCUUCGGGUUGUAAACCUCUUUCAGUAGGGACGAAGCGUGAGUGACGGUACCUACAGAAGAAGCACCGGCUAACUACGUGCCAGCAGCCGCGGUAAUACGUAGGGUGCGAGCGUUGUCCGGAAUUAUUGGGCGUAAAGAGCUCGUAGGCGGUUUGUUGCGUCGGCUGUGAAAACCUACAGCUUAACUGUGGGCCUGCAGUCGAUACGGGCAGACUUGAGUUCGGCAGGGGAGACUGGAAUUCCUGGUGUAGCGGUGAAAUGCGCAGAUAUCAGGAGGAACACCGGUGGCGAAGGCGGGUCUCUGGGCCGAUACUGACGCUGAGGAGCGAAAGCGUGGGGAGCGAACAGGAUUAGAUACCCUGGUAGUCCACGCCGUAAACGGUGGGUGCUAGGUGUGGGGGACUUCCACGUCCUCCGUGCCGCAGCUAACGCAUUAAGCACACCGCCUGGAAAGUCAAACCAAAGG
rnacentral:rRNA from 1 species